rnacentral:rRNA from 1 species
CGGCCUAGGGGGGCAGCAGUGAGGAAUAUUGGUCAAUGGUCGGGAGACUGAACCAGCCAAGCCGCGUGAGGGAUGAAGGUACAGAGUAUCGUAAACCUCUUUUGUCAGGGAACAAAGGCGGGGACUAGUCCCCGGAUGAGGGUACCUGAAGAAAAAGCAUCGGCUAACUCCGUGCCAGCAGCCGCGGUAAUACGGAGGAUGCGAGCGUUAUCCGGAUUUAUUGGGUUUAAAGGGUGCGCAGGCGGCCUGUUAAGUCAGGGGUAAAAGCCCGGGGCUCAACCCCGUCGAGCCGU